UACGUAGGGUGCGAGCGUUGUCCGGAAUUAUUGGGCGUAAAGAGCUUGUAGGCGGUUUGUCGCGUCUGCUGUGAAAAUCCGGGGCUCAACCCCGGACUUGCAGUGGGUACGGGCAGACUAGAGUGUGGUAGGGGAGACUGGAAUUCCUGGUGUAGCGGUGAAAUGCGCAGAUAUCAGGAGGAACACCGAUGGCGAAGGCAGGUCUCUGGGCCACUACUGACGCUGAGAAGCGAAAGCGUGGGGAGCGAACAGGAUUAGAUACCCUGGUAGUCCACGCCGUAAACGUUGGGAACUAGGUGUGGGUCUCAUUCCACGAGAUCCGUGCCGCAGCUAACGCAUUAAGUUCCCCGCCUGGGGAGUACGGCCGCAAGGCUAAA
rnacentral:rRNA from 1 species